rnacentral:rRNA from 1 species
GACGAACCUGACGAACGUUAUUCGGAAUUACUGGGCUUAAAGGGUGCGUAGGCGGCGCGACAAGUUGGGUGUGAAAUCCCUCGGCUCAACCGAGGAACUGCGCUCAAUACUGUCGUGCUCGAGGGAGACAGAGGUGAGCGGAACUUAGGGUGGAGCGGUGAAAUGCGUUGAUAUCCUAAGGAACACCAGUAGCGAAAGCGGCUCACUGGGUCUCUUCUGACGCUGAGGCACGAAAGCUAGGGUAGCGAACGGG